rnacentral:rRNA from 1 species
GAUGAACGCUGGCGGCGUGCCUAAUACAUGCAAGUCGAGCGAAUGGAUUAAGAGCUUGCUCUUAUGAAGUUAGCGGCGGACGGGUGAGUAACACGUGGGUAACCUGCCCAUAAGACUGGGAUAACUCCGGGAAACCGGGGCUAAUACCGGAUAACAUUUUGAACCGCAUGGUUCGAAAUUGAAAGGCGGCUUCGGCUGUCACUUAUGGAUGGACCCGCGUCGCAUUAGCUAGUUGGUGAGGUAACGGCUCACCAAGGCAACGAUGCGUAGCCGACCUGAGAGGGUGAUCGGCCACACUGGGACUGAGACACGGCCCAGACUCCUACGGGAGGCAGCAGUAGGGAAUCUUCCGCAAUGGACGAAAGUCUGACGGAGCAACGCCGCGUGAGUGAUGAAGGCUUUCGGGUCGUAAAACUCUGUUGUUAGGGAAGAACAAGUGCUAGUUGAAUGAGCUGGCACCUUGACGGUACCUAACCAGAAAGCCACGGCUAACUACGUGCCAGCAGCCGCGGUA